rnacentral:rRNA from 1 species
GAAGGGUGGCGAGCGUUGUUCGGAAUUAUUGGGCUUUAAAGGGCACGUAGGGCGGAUCAGAAAGUGUCUUGUGAAAAACCCCCGGGCUUAACCGGGGAAUUGCUUGGCAAACUUCUAGAUCUUGAGUCAAGUAGGGGUACAUGGAACUCUUAGUGGAGCGGUGGAAUGCGUAGAUAUUAAGAGGAACGCCAAUGGUGAAGACAGUGUACUGGGCUUGUACUGACGCUGAGGUGCGAAAGCGUGGGGAGCGAACGGGAUUAGAUACCCCGGUAGUCCACGCUGUAAACGAUGUCUACUAGGUUGUGGGUGUUCUGACACAGUCACAGCCGAAGCAAAAGUGUUAAGUAGACCGCCUGGGGAGUACGGUCGCAAAGGCUA